rnacentral:rRNA from 1 species
AGUGAACGCUGGCGGUAGGCCUAACACAUGCAAGUCGAACGGCAGCACAGUAAGAGCUUGCUCUUACGGGUGGCGAGUGGAGGACGGGUGAGGAAUACAUCGGAAUCUACUUUUUCGUGGGGGAUAACGUAGGGAAACUUACGCUAAUACCGCAUACGCCCUACGGUUGAAAGAAGGGGAUCUUCGGACCUUGCGCGAUUGAAUGAGCCGAUGUCGGAUUAGCUAGUUGGCGGGGUAAAGGCCCACCAAGGCGACGAUCCGUAGCUGGUCUGAGAGGAUGAUCAGCGACACUGGAACUGAGACACGGUCCAGACUCCUACGGGAGGCAGCAGUGGGGAAUAUUGGACAAAGGGCGCAAGCCUGAACCAGCCAUACCGCGUGGGUGAAGAAGGCCUUCGGGUUGUAAAGCCCUUUUGUUGGGAAAGAAAAGCAGCAGGUUAAUACCCCGCUGUUCUGACGGUACCCAAAGAAUAAGCACCGGCUAACUACGUG